rnacentral:rRNA from 1 species
AACAAACGCUGGCGGCGUGCCUAAUACAUGCGAGUCGAACGGGGUAGCAAUACCUAGUGGCGCACGGGUGAGUAACGCGUGGAUAAUCUGCCUUAGAGUGGGGGAUAACUAGUCGAAAGAUUAGCUAAUACCGCAUAAGACCACAAGAGCUGCGGCUCAAGGGGUCAAAGGUUUUUCGCUCUAAGAUGAGUCCGCGUAAGAUUAGCUAGUUGGUGAGGUAAUGGCUCACCAAGGCGACGAUCUUUAACUGGUCUGAGAGGAUGAUCAGUCACACUGGAACUGAGACACGGUCCAGACUCCUACGGGAGGCAGCAGUAGGGAAUAUUGCACAAUGGAGGAAACUCUGAUGCAGCGACGCCGCGUGAGUGAUGAAGGCCUUCGGGUCGUAAAGCUCUGUCGCAGGGGAAUAACACAAUGAAUGUACCCUGUAAGAAAGGAUCGGCUAACUUCGUG